UGAGGAAUAUUGGACAAUGGACGAAAGUCUGAUCCAGCUAUGCCGCGUGCAGGAUGACAGCCCUACGGGUUGUAAACUGCUUUUAUACAGGAAGAAAAACCCCGACGUGUCGGGGCUUGACGGUACUGUAAGAAUAAGGAUCGGCUAACUCCGUGCCAGCAGCCGCGGUAAUACGGAGGAUCCAAGCGUUAUCCGGAAUUAUUGGGUUUAAAGGGUCCGCAGGCUGUUUGUUAAGUCAGAGGUGAAAUCCUACCGCUCAACGGUAGAACUGCCUUUGAUACUGGCAAACUUGAGUUAUUGUGAAGUAGUUAGAAUGUGUAGUGUAGCGGUGAAAUGCAUAGAUAUUACACAGAAUACCGAUUGCGAAAGCAGAUUACUAACAAUAUACUGACGCUGAGGGACGAAAGCGUGGGUAGCGAACAGGAUUAGAUACCCUGGUAGUCCACGCCGUAAACGAUGGUCACUAGCUGUUCGAUGUACAUUGGUACGUUGAGUGGCUAAGCGAAAGUGAUAAGUGACCCACCUGGGGAGUACGCUCGCAAGAAUGAAACUCAAAGGAAUUGACGGGGGCCCGCACAAGCGGUGGAGCAUGUGGUUUAAUUCGAUGAUACGCGAGGAACCUUACC
rnacentral:rRNA from 1 species